UGCAAGUCGAACGAUGAACCUCACUUGUGGGGGGAUUAGUGGCGAACGGGUGAGUAACACGUGAGUAACCUGCCCUUGACUCUGGGAUAAGCCUGGGAAACCGGGUCUAAUACUGGAUACGACCUUCCCGCGCAUGCGGUGUUGGUGGAAAGCUUUUGCGGUUUUGGAUGGACUCGCGGCCUAUCAGCUUGUUGGUGGGGUAAUGGCCUACCAAGGCGACGACGGGUAGCCGGCCUGAGAGGGUGACCGGCCACACUGGGACUGAGACACGGCCCAGACUCCUACGGGAGGCAGCAGUGGGGAAUAUUGCACAAUGGGCGCAAGCCUGAUGCAGCGACGCCGCGUGAGGGAUGAAGGCCUUCGGGUUGUAAACCUCUUUCAGUAGGGAAGAAGCUGGCCUUUUGG
rnacentral:rRNA from 1 species